CCAUCAUUAUCGCUGAUCCUUAAUAGGGGUUUUUAGUUAAAUGAGUGAUUCAAAAAUAAAUAUAAUUAUAGUUACCGAUCUUUAGUAAAGGAUUUUGGCAACCUAUCCUUAGAUGGACGGAGAUCGCCGGAUCUGGCUCGUUCCGGCGGGAGUUUGUUACGGCUCUCGAGUUCUACACGAUGGUGCUGGAGUCCCGGAGAUUCGGUGAAGAAGGUCGUUGAAUCGUUUGUCUGCGACCGAAGAUCGCCGCAGCGGUGGAAACGACGGCGAUCACCUUCCUCCGCUCUGAUUUCUCCGCCGCAGCUCCCGCCAAUCGAUUACCUGCCCCGGCCCUACAAUGGUCCUGCGAUCACCUUCCUCCGCUCUGAUUACUGUGUCAGACUAACAUCUUUUGCUUUCUCAGAUUACUAAAAUUAAGCCUUUUGAAGUAAGAGUAAACUUUGGCCAAAUUUUCCGAGGAAGAAUCCACAUAACGGAGGUGAAUGAUGUUGGUACAAAUGAAAAACCUUUUGCCAAAUUCAGAGUUGGGCAAUCGGGUGUCUGCAAGGGUUGUUGCAAAGCCCUGUCAUACGGAUAAUAAAAAGAGUUAACUCUGGGACUCUGGGAGCUUUCUGUAAAGCCUGCAAUACUUAGAGAAUUUGGUGAGCUGACUGAAGUAAGGGAACAACUUGAGUUUGUUUCUGGAGAGCUUGUCUGCGGUUAUGUCUACAAAGUGGAUAAAGAAUGGGUUUGGUUGGCAAUAUCUCGCAAUGUGACAGCACGCAUGUAUAUCCUCUCCCCUCUCUUCUGUAAGUUUCAGUUUCUGUUUGUUUAAGUUGUGUGUUUGUUGUUCUGGUUAUGUAAUGUUUCUCUUCAGAAGUAUGUCGAGUUUGGAUUUGUUGUUCUGUUUCUGUUAAACUUGUUUGAGUGUAUUAUGUUUCUCUU